UACAGAGGAGCCAAGCGUUGUCCGGAUUGACUGGGCGUAAAGCGCACGCAGGCGGAUGCGCGCGUGGGGUGUGAAAUCUGGCCGCUUAACGGCCAGGCGCCAUCCCAUACGGCGCGUCUGGAGUGAUGCAGAGGUCGGUGGAAUUGCCGGUGUAGUGGUGAAAUGCGUAGAGAUGUGGAGGAACACCAAUGGCGAAGGCAGCCUUCUGGGCCAACACUGACGCUCAUGCACGAAAGCGUGGGGAGCAAACAGG
rnacentral:rRNA from 1 species